UACGUAGGGUGCGAGCGUUAAUCGGAAUUACUGGGCGUAAAGCGUGCGCAGGCGGUUCGUUGUGUCUGAUGUGAAAGCCCCGGGCUUAACCUGGGAAUGGCAUUGGAAACUGGCGAGCUGGAGUGUGGCAGAGGGGGGUGGAAUUCCGCGUGUAGCAGUGAAAUGCGUAGAGAUGCGGAGGAACACCGAUGGCGAAGGCAGCCCCCUGGGCUGACACUGACGCUCAUGCACGAAAGCGUGGGGAGCAAACAGG
rnacentral:rRNA from 1 species